rnacentral:rRNA from 1 species
AAUGAACGCUGGCGGCGUGGAUUAGGCAUGCAAGUCGAACGCGAAAGUAGCCGCAAGGCUGCGAGUAGAGUGGCGAAAGGGUGAGUAAUGCUUGGAUGACCUACCCUCGAGACGGGGAUAACAGUUCGAAAGGACUGCUAAUACCCGAUAGUCCGUCCCGGAUGCGUCCGGGCCGGUAAACGGUUGAUUCCGCUCGUGGAGGGGUCCAAGUCCUAUCAGCUAGUUGGUGAGGUAACGGCNCACCAAGGCUACGACGGGUAGGCGGUCUGAGAGGACGACCGCCCACAUCGGGACUGAGACACUGCCCGGACUCCUACGGGAGGCUG